rnacentral:rRNA from 1 species
AUUGAACGCUGGCGGCAUGCCUUACACAUGCAAGUCGAACGGUAACAGGUCUUCGGAUGCUGACGAGUGGCGAACGGGUGAGUAAUACAUCGGAACGGGCCUAGUAGUGGGGGAUAACUACUCGAAAGAGUGGCUAAUACCGCAUGAGAUCUACGGAUGAAAGCAGGGGAUAGCAAGACCUUGUGCUACUAGAGCGGCCGAUGGCAGAUUAGGUAGUUGGUGGGGUACAAGCUUACCAAGCCCACGAUCUGUAGCUGGUCUGGGAGUACGAUCAGCCACACUGGGACUGAGACACGGCCCAGACUCCUACCGGAGGCAUCAGUGGGGAAUUUUGGACAAUGGGCGCAAGCCUGAUCCAGCAAUGCCGCAUGCAGGAUGAUGGCCUUCGGGUUGUAAACUGCUUUUGUACGGAACGAAAAGCCCCGGGUUAAUACCCUGGGGUCAUGACGGUACCGUAAGAAUAAGCACCGGCUAACUACGUGCCAGCAGCCGCGGUAA